rnacentral:lncRNA from 1 species
GAAACUGGUGGGUGGAGACAAAUACAGUCGCAAUGUUAUUCAGGAUCGUCUUCUUGGUGCGUGUCUUCGUUAGCUUAGCAAUAGCAGCCUCUCAAGAUCUAAACUUCACCUUCUCUGGCUUCCGAUCCACUAAUCUAAGCCUUGACGGCUUAGCUGAGUUAACCUCCAAUGGCCUUUUGAGGCUAACGAAUAUAACCUACCACCGAACGAGUCACGCCUUCUAUCCAAACCCAGUAACCUUCAAGAACUCUAUAAAUAGCACAGCUUCCACCUUCUCCACUACCUUUGUUUUCGCUAUCAUACCUGAAUAUCCAACUCUUGGCGGCCAUGGUUUUGCCUUUGUCAUUGCACCCACAAGAGGUCUCCCAGGAGCUGUUCCAAACCAGUACCUUGGUCUAUUUAAUGAGACCAACAAUGGGAAACAGACCAACCAUGUUGUUGCUGUGGAGCUUGACACGAUAUACAACAUCGAGUUCGAUGAUAUCAAAGAUGACCAUGUUGGGAUUGAUAUUAAUGGUUUAAAGUCUGAACGAUCUGCUUCACCAGGAUAUUAUUCUCAACUUAAUGGUAAGCUCACAAACUUGACACUAAUUAGUGGCCAUCCAAUGCAAGUUUGGAUCGAAUAUGAUGGCAUGGAGAAGCAAAUGAAUGUCACUAUAGCUCCGAUUGAUGUUGAUAAACCCAGUAGACCACUUUUGACUCUGUCUCGUGAUUUGUCGCCAAUCUUAAACAAUAGUAUGUAUAUCGGAUUCUCAUCAUCCACCGGUUCUUUUUCUGCGUCCCAGUAUGUGUUGGGUUGGAGCUUCAAGAUGAAUGGCCUAGCUGAAGCGCUAAAUAUCUCUCGCCUUCCUAAACUUCCUCGCGUAGGACCAAAGAAGACAUCCAAAUUCUUAACCAUUGGACUGCCUGUGCUCUGUUUAAGUUUGGUUUUAGUAGCAGUCUCGGGUAUAUCUUAUGCCAUACGAAGGACAAGGAAGUUUGCAGAAGUGCUAGAAGAUUGGGAGCUUGACUAUGGGCCUCACCGAUUUAAAUUCAAAGAUCUUUAUACUGCCACCAAAGGAUUUAGAGACGAGGAGCUGUUGGGUAGUGGUGGAUUUGGUAGAGUCUACAAAGGUGUCUUGCCAACCUCGAAGAUUCAGAUUGCAGUGAAAAGGGUGUCUCAUGAAUCAAGCAGGGGAUGAGGGAAUUUGUGGCGGAAAUUGUCAGCAUUGGUCGCCUUCGUCACCGGAAUUUAGUCCCUCUCUUGGGGUACUGCCGGCGUAAAGGAGAGCUACUUUUGGUAUAUGACUACAUGCCUAAUGGAAGUCUAGACAAAUACCUCUAUGACCAACCAGCAGUCGCCCUCAAUUGGAGCCAAAGAUUUAGAGUCAUCAAAGGCGUAGCUUCAGGGCUAUUAUAUCUACAUGAAGAAUGGGAGCAAGUUGUGAUUCAUAGAGAUGUCAAGGCUAGUAAUGUCUUGCUAGAUGGUGAAUUGAAUGGAAGAUUGGGGGAUUUUGGCCUUGCAAGAUUGUAUGACCAUGGAACAGAUCCUCAAACGACCCACGUUGUCGGAACUCUUGGGUAUCUCGCACCUGAGCAUGCACGAACUGGAAGGCCACGACAAGCACUGAUGUGUUCGCUUUUGGGGCCUUCCUGCUUGAGGUUGCUUCUGGUAGAAGGCCAAUACAGCCAACUGAGGAUAUAAUCUUGGUUGAUUUGGUGUUUAGUCGAUGGCUUGGAGGUGAAAUUCUGGAGGCAAGGGAUCCCAAUUUGGGCACAGAAUAUAUUGCAGAGGAAAUGGAAUUGGUAUUGAAACUUGGUUUGAUGUGCUCUCAUUCUAAGCCUGCAGCAAGGCCAAGCAUGCGCCAAGUAGUGCAGUUCUUAGAGGGGAAUGUUCCUCUGCCUGACAUUUUACCACUUCGUCUUUCUGCAAGUGGCCAAAAAUUUGCACAUCGUGAAGGUUUUGAUGACUUUGCCUAUUAUUAUCCUUCUUCUAUGGACAAGGCAUCUGCACAUUCGUCCUUGGUUGCAGAGUCCCUCCUUUCAGGUGGCCGUUAAUUCUUACUUGUCUUCCAGGACCUGUUGAAUUAAUGUCUCAGAAGCUGCUGAUGUGGAAGAUGGAAAGUUUACAGUCAAAUAAAACUCAUGUUGGUUUGAAGUUUCAAAAGUUUGUAAGGAUUUGCAUAAUCUUCUUUUCUGUUAUGUAACAACACAGCAGAUAUUGCUGCUGUUUAUUUGCUUUUGCUGUUUUAAGAAGUGUUUAAAUAAGACUUCUGAUAAUCAAUAAGAUUAACGAAGUUUUCAGAAUAGCUUUGUUCUCUGUUAACAUUUACAAUUUAUUCUGUCAAAAACUAUCAGACCAUAUGAGUGGAUUUUUUUAUUAAAAAAAACUAUGUAGUAAACUGCCUUUAGGAGAUGUACAUGAAAGAUCACCUGCAAAACAAUGAUGCAAAUUCAAUAAAAUUCAAUUAAAUUAUUAAAUAAAAUUCUAAAAUAUAAUUAAUAUUAUUCUACCUCACUUAUUCAUUAAUAAACCGAUCCUCUAUUUUUGAGCAUUAUAAAUAGUCCAGUUCUGCAUCAAUUCUAACUAGCUACGUGUCAGAUUGAAUAACACAUGACUGGCAUAGACUCUAUACAUAGAUAGCAACGUUACGACUGGUUGUGUUAAACUGAAACAACCUUUUCAAUCCUCACUAUCACUCUUUCCCUAGCCUGGAAGACAAGCAACUCAAUAAAACAGAGAAGACCAUCAAAAUUACUUGUGUUGUUAUUGUUUUCCAGUUUUGUACCAGGAAAUUAGGACAAACUAAAUUGGCAGCACGCGUUACGUGUUAUGCUAUCGGUCAAAACAAGUAUUUUUCAAUUGUAACGGAGCUAGAAUAUUUUAAAUGAAGGUGCAAAUUAAUUAAUAAAUAUAUACUAUAUUAUAUAAAUAUACUUAAAAUUUAAUUUUAAAUAAAUAUACUAACUCAUAUAAAGCAAAACUAAUUUAAAAAUACUUUUAAAAUGAAAAAACUUACAUUAUAAUUAUUCUCUUUAAGUUUUCAUAAUAACAAAAUUCAGUUCAGUUAUACAAUAAUUGUAAAUAUUCCAUAUGAAAUUUAUAAUACAAUACACAUUAAUUCAUCAAAAUGCAUGGAUAUAGAUCAGCAUUGAUAGUUUAAAUUUAUCAUGAUAGAUUAUUUUUAAAAACAAAAAAAUAGUUUUAUUUUAAAAAAAAACUAAAAUUUAAUUUUGCAAAUAUUAAUCUUUACUCACUGACAACAAUUGAAAUGUUUGCUUGUUUAUCUUGUGAAAAAAAAAAUUUCAUAUCAUAAUUAAUUCAAUUAAAAUUAUAUUAUUUACUGAUUUUAUUAAAUUUGAUUUUUAAAUUUUUCAUUGUUAUGUAUUUUGUUUUGAUUUUUUUUAAUUUCAUCAUUGUUGCUACCCAAUUUUUGACCUAUGUUUUGAUAAAUUUUUUAAAAAAUCUAAAAAUAGAGAAAAACAAUGAAAAUAAAAAAAUAUAUAUGUUUUUUAAUAUAUUUGCAUCAUUUUUAGCAUUUUCAGCGUCGUCUAAAAAAGAAUUUAAAUUUUAAAGGGUAUUUCAAAUGCGUUCGACUUUUCACACAUCAUUUUUAAAAUCUUUGAUUUUCCUCAUCGAGUCGACGUUGAUAUUGCUUGUUUUCAAAAAAUACAAAAAAAUCAAAAAAAAUCAAAAUUUACAAAAACAGAAGAAAUUGAGGGACCAAUUUUGAAAACCUAGCAAUAUUUAUGCCUAUAAAUACUGGUUUCCUCAACACACUCAAAGGGGGGGUAAUUUUGAAAUAUCAGAAAAAUCACAAAAAACCCUAAUGCUAAACUUAUCUCUACCCAAAAAAAAAAGAACACAGCCCCCCCCCCACCCUUUGCUUUUUUUGACACCGGCCAAACAACCCCCCAAAACCCCCCGGAUUAUUUUUUUUUCUUCUUCCUUUCUCCCUCACCAGCAGCCACACUCUCAGCCCCUCACUCCACAGCUGCCGGUCACCAGACCUCUCUCCCCCUCAGCCGUUCCUUCUUCCCUUGGCUAACAACACCACCACAACUCCCUUUUUUUUUUCCUCUGAUUUUCUCCACCCGGCCGGCCAAACGACAGCAGCAACAAGAUCUGCCAUCGGCAGAAGAAGAAACCCACCGCUGGAAACAAAGAACAACGGGGAAACAGUAGCAGCGACGGCCCCAUCCUCGUGCAGCAGCGCCGUGUUCCUCCAGUAGCAGCAAUCGGGCAACGAACAGAGCCCAUCACAGCGGCGACCGAGCUCCUCCAGCACGCUCACAGACCCCGAUCGGUCCAUUCCUCCGCCUAAACAUCGACAGCAAUCCCCUCUCCAUUGUGGUUUCAGCCGCCGGACGGACGACAGUAGCAACGACCACAGCCGCGACCCCCUUUGCAUCGCCACCCGAUCUGGCACCCGAAGUAGAGGAGAAGAAGACGGAACCCCUAACGAACUGACCCGGGGAGAAGAUGAUCUGAAGAAGGAGAAGAAGGAGUAGAUCGGAGAAAAAAAAACAAAAAAAAAACAACUGUUUGUUGCGUUUCUUGGCUUUGCAGGUGACAUACCUCUCACCACCGACAGGGAAUGCUGAGAAGAAGACGAUCCAUACACCCCUGGUUUGCCCGGUUUUCCAGCGGCGGCGCGUGAACCCACGCGCCGCCAGUGGCGAUGGCGUGUGGGAAGACGCACCGCUACUGUUCAGGCAACUCCAAAAAAAAAUUUCCUGAAUUUUAGGGACUAUUCUGUAAUUUUUCAAUUAUUUGAUGUAAUUUUUGUUUAGUUGUUUUGAAUUGGUAAUUUGUAAUGUGAUGUACAAAAAGAACAAAAAAAAAGAAAAAGAAAAGAAAAGAAACAAAUAUAGUGAAAGUGUAUGUGUGUUGGUAUUUGUUUUAUCAUUUGUUUUAUUUUUUUAUGAAAAAAUUGCAAAGAUUAAGGAAGAAUUUAAUAUUUUGAUUGGAUCACGGUCAAGAAUUAUUAACUUAUACGUAAGUUGUAUUUCUAAUAUCCGAUGAAAAGAUAAAAUUUUAAAACUUCUUUAACACGUCAAAGUCAUGAAGCAGCUUACUUCAGGUAGGGUGCGUUAGGGGUGCUAAUACCUUCCCUAAUCACAACCAGUCCCUUACCCGUGAAUCUCUAACAAGACCAGUACAUCCAGUUUCCUACUAGCCUUUAAUAAAUUACUAGGUGGCGACUCCCAAUGAAUCAAUUCAAGCAAACGCAACAACGAGAAAAAAUUGCCAGCUCGAUGCCGCGCGGAUUUUUUUCGACGUGCGACAAUCAUUUAGAAUUUAAUUUCAUUUGAUUUUUAUAUAAACUUUGGUCUUUAUUUUUAUGAUUGUCGCACGUGUGCGGCGGCGCGACGAUCGUCCACCCUCAAGGAAAAAUCGGAAUAUUUAUUUCUUGAAAAUAGGGAGAGACAAGGAAUUCUUGUCUCUACAAGUGAAAAUAUGGACUGGGAGUCGCCACCUAGUAUUCGGGUUACUAGGAACCUUAACUGGUCUUUAGAGAUCGGGUACGGAGACUAGUUGCGUAAAGGGAAGGUAUUAGCACCCCAACUACGCCCUACCGAAGGUAGGCUGCAUUGUUUUAAUGUCUGAUAAAAUCUAAGGUCGUGUUUGUGGUUUUUUUUGUUCGGAAUACGCAUUACAUGUAAUGUCAUACCCCAGGUCUUAUUGUAAAAAAAAUGAAACAUCCGGAAUUUAAAUAUCUGGAAUAUGUAUUACGUAUAAUGUCAUAUCCCGGAUAUUAAAAAAAAAAAAAUUUAUUGUUUUUGAAAUUUUGGCCAAUGUUCUCUUGACUUUAAUAAACUGGUUAUUAAAGCCAAAAUGCAUGCUAAAAUAUUUUUUUUUUUUACAUAUGAAAAAUACGAUAUGAUUUUGUAGAUUUGAGACACUUGGUUGUAUGCACAAAAACAUUUUUUUCUCUUUUUUUCAAUUUUCAAUUUUUUUUUUAUUUUUGGAAGUUUUUGCCGAAAACCAGGUAUUUUAAUAUCAGAUUUUGUAUUUUUAACAACAUAAAAAAUACCACCAAAUAUUAAUCAAAAUGACAUAAAAAUUACACGGAAAAAUUAUAAAAUGCUGAAACAAAUAUUUUUGAUUUUUUUCUUUGAAAUGGGCCGGAUUAGGCCCAAAUAUAUGGGCUGGGCCGAACCUGGCCCAAAGCAUGGGCUGGUUACUGUGCACAUAGUAACCGGGUUACUGUGUGUACAGUACCAGAGAAUUAAUCUGCGGGUUACUGUGCACAUGCACAGUAAUCGUGAAUUAAUUAGCGAGUUACUGUGCACAAAAAACGACGGGAAAGGCUACCUGCGGUGGUGAUGUUGGACUCUCUUCUCUGCUUCUUCUUCUUCUGCUUUCUUCUCUCUGUCUCUCCCUUCUUUCUCUUCUCUCCUUUUUUUUUUUUUUUUUAGCAGCCCUCCCCUGUAUUUAUAGGAAAAAACAGGGGAGGCGUCAUGGUGGUGGCCGCCGCCCCUCCACUAUCGAUCCGUGGAUAAAAGGAGGAGGCAAGUGGGUGAUUGCGGGCGUCUUAUUGCGCCAAAUCCGGGUGAGAAAUUAGGUGAAAAGGGGAAGAAAAAAUCUUCUUCUUCCCCUGCCUCGCGCGUCCAGGGGAAGAAGAAGAGCUACAGUGCCGUCAAAACGGCACCGUUUUGGGCUUCUGUUUUUUUUUUUUUUUUUUUAGCAACAGUGAAUGAAACGGCGCCGUUUUGGUCAAAACGCGCCGUUUCAUUUAAAAGGAAAAGGCGCCAAAAGCAUCAGAUUCAAAUUUCGGCCCUCCAUUUGCGCGCGUUUUACAAUUUAGUCCUUGGUCUCGGAUUUCUUCAAUUCAGUCCCUAAUUGGCCAUUAAACCUCAAUAUUUAUGCAAUUAAGCCCCUGAUUUGACCAAAUUAACUUCCAAAAAUUAUAAUUUGACCCUAGAAAAUUAAUUUCUCCUAAUUAAAGCCCAAAUUAACUCCAAAAUCAAUUUUUCUUGCAAUUAAAAUCUUCAUAAAUGCAAUUAAACCUUUAAUAAAAUUUAAUUGAGUCCAUAAACUUCUGAUUUUGCAUUUUUCUUCCACAAAUUGAAUUUUCUUUAUCAUCGGGGCUCUCAUCAGUCAAUGAUAUACUGUCAAAAAUUAAUUUUUGAUUUUUGAACAUCCUCAAUCAAUUUUUGAGCAUUUUUAGGGCGCUCUAGCAUUUUUUCACUGUUAUAUUUUUUGAUAAUAUAUUUUUUGAAUUUUUUUGUAUUUUAUUUUUUUUUAUGUGGGGACCCAAAAAUGGGUUACAACAAUGAUAAUUAUUUGUUUUUCUUUUAUUAUUUUCUUUAUUAAAAUUUUUUAUCUAUCAAAUUUGGUCAUCACUUUUUUAUUAUUAUUUAUUUUAUGUAAAAUAAGUUACGAAAUUGUAAUUUGUUUUUAAGUUCUUCAUCUUUCAACUUUUUUAUAUGUUAUAUUUGAUCUCUAUUAUUUUGAUUGUUAUUUAUUUUAUUUGAAAUAAUUUAAAAAAUUAGAUUAUUUUUUUAAUUUUAUUGUCAUUUAACUUUUUAAUUUGUAAGAUUUGUUUCUAAUUAUUUUAAUAAAAAUAUAUUAACAAUUUAUUUUCCAGCUCAUUUUCAAUCAUAUAGUCCAAACACUGAAAAAUAUUUUUUAUUUUUUUAUUUAUUACUAAAUAUUAAAAAUAAACAUUCACUUCUAAUAAAUUUAAUUUAAAAAAAAAUUAUUUUUCAACAAACAAACAGCAUAACUCUCCUAAAUUACGUGGAUACUCCAUUAUAACUGACAAACAUGAACAAGAAACUGGUGGGUGGAGACAAAUACAGUUGCAAUGUUAUUCAGGAUCGUCUUCUUGGUCCGUGUCUUCGUUAGCUUAGCAAUAGCAGCCACUCAAGAUCUCAACUUCACCUUCUAUGGCUUCCGAUCUACUAAUCUAAGCCUUGACGGCUUAGCUGAGUUAACCUCCAAUGGCCUUUUGAGGCUAACCAAUGUAACCUACCACCGAACGAGUCACGCCUUCUAUCCAAACCCAGUAACCUUCAAGAACUCUAUAAAUAGCACUGCUUUCACCUUCUCCACUACCUUUGUUUUCGCUAUCAUACCUGAAUAUCCAACUCUUGGCGGCCAUGGUUUUGCCUUUGUCAUUGCACCCACAAGAGGU